UACCAGCACCCCGAGUGGUCGGGACGAUUAUUGGGCCUAAAGCAUCCGUAGCCGGUUCUGCAAGUCCCCCGUUAAAUCCAGCUGCUCAACAGAUGGGCCGCGGAGGAUACUACAGAGCUAGGAGGCAGGAGAGGCAAGCGGUACUCAGUGGGUAGGGGUAAAAUCCGUUGAUCCAUUGAAGACCACCAAUGGCGAAGGCGGCUUGCCAGAAUGCGCUCGACGGUGAGGGAUGAAAGCUGGGGAGCAAACCGG
rnacentral:rRNA from 1 species